rnacentral:rRNA from 1 species
GACGAACGCUGGCGGCGUGCUUAACACAUGCAAGUCGUACGGUAAGGCCCUUUCGGGGGUACACGAGUGGCGAACGGGUGAGUAACACGUGAGUAACCUGCCCACAACUUUGGGAUAACGCUAGGAAACUGGUGCUAAUACUGGAUAUGUGCUCCUGCUGCAUGGUGGGGGUUGGAAAGCUCCGGCGGUUGUGGAUGGACUCGCGGCCUAUCAGCUUGUUGGUGGGGUAGUGGCCUACCAAGGCGGCGACGGGUAGCCGGCCUGAGAGGGUGACCGGCCACAUUGGGACUGAGAGACGGCCCAGACUCCUACGGGAGGCAGCAGGGGGGAAUAUUGCACAAUGGGCGCAAGCCUGAUGCAGCAACGCCGCGGGCGGGAGGACGGCCUUCGGGUUGGAAACCGCUUUCAGCAGGGACGAAGCUUUUUGUGACGGUACCUGCAGAAGAAGCACCGGCUAACUACGUG